UUGGAAGUAAGGUUAUGAUGCACAUAC
rnacentral:piRNA from 1 species